UCAAGUGAAGAAGCGCAUACGGUGGAUGCCUUGGCAGUCAGAGGCGAUGAAAGACGUGGUAGCCUGCGAAAAGCUUCGGGGAGUCGGCAAACAGACUUUGAUCCGGAGAUCUCUGAAUGGGGGAACCCACCUAGGAUAACCUAGGUAUCUUGUACUGAAUCCAUAGGUGCAAGAGGCGAACCAGGGGAACUGAAACAUCUAAGUACCCUGAGGAAAAGAAAUCAACCGAGAUUCCCUUAGUAGUGGCGAGCGAACGGGGAUUAGCCCUUAAGCUUCAUUGAUUUUAGCGGAACGCUCUGGAAAGUGCGGCCAUAGUGGGUGAUAGCCCCGUACGCGAAAGGAUCUUUGAAGUGAAAUCGAGUAGGACGGAGCACGAGAAACUUUGUCUGAACAUGGGGGGACCAUCCUCCAAGGCUAAAUACUACUGACUGACCGAUAGUGAACCAGUACCGUGAGGGAAAGGCGAAAAGAACCCCGGAGAGGGGAGUGAAAUAGAACCUGAAACCGUAUGCGUACAAGCAGUGGGAGCCUACUUGUUAGGUGACUGCGUACCUUUUGUAUAAUGGGUCAGCGACUUAUAUUCAGUGGCAAGCUUAACCGUAUAGGGUAGGCGUAGCGAAAGCGAGUCUUAAUAGGGCGUUUAGUCGCUGGGUAUAGACCCGAAACCGGGCGAUCUAUCCAUGAGCAGGUUGAAGGUUAGGUAACACUGACUGGAGGACCGAACCCACUCCCGUUGAAAAGGUAGGGGAUGACUUGUGGAUCGGAGUGAAAGGCUAAUCAAGCUCGGAGAUAGCUGGUUCUCCUCGAAAGCUAUUUAGGUAGCGCCUCAUGUAUCACUCUGGGGGGUAGAGCACUGUUUCGGCUAGGGGGUCAUCCCGACUUACCAAACCGAUGCAAACUCCGAAUACCUAUGAGUACUAUCCGGGAGACAGACUGCGGGUGCUAACGUCCGUAGUCAAGAGGAAAACAAUCCAGACCGCCAGCUAAGGCCCCAAAAUCAUAGUUAAGUGGGAAACGAUGUGGGAAGGCAUAGACAGCUAGGAGGUUGGCUUAGAAGCAGCCACCCUUUAAAGAAAGCGUAAUAGCUCACUAGUCGAGUCGGCCUGCGCGGAAGAUGUAACGGGGCUCAAACCACACACCGAAGCUGCGGGUGUCACGUAAGUGACGCGGUAGAGGAGCGUUCUGUAAGCCUGUGAAGGUGAGUUGAGAAGCUUGCUGGAGGUAUCAGAAGUGCGAAUGCUGACAUGAGUAACGACAAUGGGUGUGAAAAACACCCACGCCGAAAGACCAAGGGUUCCUGCGCAACGUUAAUCGACGCAGGGUUAGUCGGUUCCUAAGGCGAGGCUGAAAAGCGUAGUCGAUGGGAAACAGGUUAAUAUUCCUGUACUUCUGGUUACUGCGAUGGAGGGACGGAGAAGGCUAGGCCAGCUUGGCGUUGGUUGUCCAAGUUUAAGGUGGUAGGCUGAAAUCUUAGGUAAAUCCGGGGUUUCAAGGCCGAGAGCUGAUGACGAGUCGUCUUUUAGAUGACGAAGUGGUUGAUGCCAUGCUUCCAAGAAAAGCUUCUAAGCUUCAGGUAACCAGGAACCGUACCCCAAACCGACACAGGUGGUCGGGUAGAGAAUACCAAGGCGCUUGAGAGAACUCGGGUGAAGGAACUAGGCAAAAUGGCACCGUAACUUCGGGAGAAGGUGCGCCGGCUAGGGUGAAGGAUUUACUCCGUAAGCUCUGGCUGGUCGAAGAUACCAGGCCGCUGCGACUGUUUAUUAAAAACACAGCACUCUGCAAACACGAAAGUGGACGUAUAGGGUGUGACGCCUGCCCGGUGCCGGAAGGUUAAUUGAUGGGGUUAGCGCAAGCGAAGCUCUUGAUCGAAGCCCCGGUAAACGGCGGCCGUAACUAUAACGGUCCUAAGGUAGCGAAAUUCCUUGUCGGGUAAGUUCCGACCUGCACGAAUGGCGUAACGAUGGCGGCGCUGUCUCCACCCGAGACUCAGUGAAAUUGAAAUCGCUGUGAAGAUGCAGUGUAUCCGCGGCUAGACGGAAAGACCCCGUGAACCUUUACUGUAGCUUUGCACUGGACUUUGAGCCUGCUUGUGUAGGAUAGGUGGGAGGCUUUGAAGCGUGGACGCCAGUUCGCGUGGAGCCAUCCUUGAAAUACCACCCUGGCAUGCUUGAGGUUCUAACUCUGGUCCGUAAUCCGGAUCGAGGACAGUGUAUGGUGGGCAGUUUGACUGGGGCGGUCUCCUCCUAAAGAGUAACGGAGGAGUACGAAGGUGCGCUCAGCGUGGUCGGAAAUCACGCGUAGAGUAUAAAGGCAAAAGCGCGCUUAACUGCGAGACCCACAAGUCGAGCAGGUACGAAAGUAGGUCUUAGUGAUCCGGUGGUUCUGUAUGGAAGGGCCAUCGCUCAACGGAUAAAAGGUACUCCGGGGAUAACAGGCUGAUACCGCCCAAGAGUUCAUAUCGACGGCGGUGUUUGGCACCUCGAUGUCGGCUCAUCACAUCCUGGGGCUGAAGCCGGUCCCAAGGGUAUGGCUGUUCGCCAUUUAAAGUGGUACGCGAGCUGGGUUUAGAACGUCGUGAGACAGUUCGGUCCCUAUCUGCCGUGGACGUUUGAGAUUUGAGAGGGGCUGCUCCUAGUACGAGAGGACCGGAGUGGACGAACCUCUGGUGUUCCGGUUGUCACGCCAGUGGCAUUGCCGGGUAGCUAUGUUCGGAAAAGAUAACCGCUGAAAGCAUCUAAGCGGGAAACUUGCCUCAAGAUGAGAUCUCACUGGGAACUUGAUUCCCCUGAAGGGCCGUCGAAGACUACGACGUUGAUAGGCUGGGUGUGUAAGCGUUGUGAGGCGUUGAGCUAACCAGUACUAAUUGCCCGUGAGGCUUGACCAU
rnacentral:rRNA from 1 species